ACCAGUACUAACAGAAGCUGCAGAAUCAAGUGCUAUUGGUCCUGCUAUUUACACUAAAAUGGGUAACCCCAGUGUGAGUGACGGCGAAGUCCUUUCAAACCCAGAGGUUAAAAUCUUACUUCCUUUCUUACACUCCUUUUCAUCUUUGCUUCGGUGUAAAAUCUGCAUGACUUAUUAUGCCAUUGUUGAACUGCUCUCUGACCUCAUUAACAUUCUUAUCUCCCAGAAAAAAAAAAAUGUUACAAGAGACCUGUCUGGUUAUUAUCUCUGCCACCUAAGACUUAAAGCUUCACUAUAAUUUCCAAAUACAUCUACCUUGAAAUAUCUAAGCUUACGUGUCUCAGCUACUUCCCCAAGUAUGCUGAAUUCUAACGGUAGAGAUUCACUAAACCUAUUUUCUUUUUCACACUUCAUAAUCCCUGGUACAGGAAAUGGCUCAAAGCACUAAAUUCGAUUUGUUUUUCAAAAAACAACAAAGCCAUAAAAUUCUAGAACAGUAACACUCAAUCUUAGGAUAUACAACAGGAUACAGCUACAGAUAAGAGCUCUUGGUUUAUUCCGGUGUUUCAAUAGCUACAGAUGCUGUUGCAAAAUGAGGCAAGAGUGAGUUCUGCCAAGAGCAAUGUCCAUCAUGCAAAAUGCCUACUACCUAGGAGCUUUCAGAAGAAAUAAUCUAGGAAGUGUCAUCACUCCAGGCCACGGUGGCAUUCGUGAAUGGGAAACAAUGUUUGGAAAGUGUGCCGUUUUGACAUCAGUGUGGCUCUGGCAACGUUGGAUGGAUGAGAUGAGUAGGAAUCAGUGUGAAGUCCGCAUUACAACAUGCUUGGAUUCAGUUAUGCCAAUGGUAAUGGAAAGAAAGAGGAAAGAUUUCAGAGAAGUAUGCAAAGAAAAAAAAGAAACAAAUUGUCAAUAGAUAGAAUAAAAGAAAAGAUAAAAUCUAAAAAUGUUCUUGAUGUUUCAUGCCUGCGUGACUGAAAAAAAAAGUGCUACUAUUUAGAAGUAUGCAGAUAUCAUUAAGAACAUUUGGGGGCAAAAAG
rnacentral:lncRNA from 1 species